GCGUAACUCCGCAGUUCACUCGCAUAGUCUUCUCCCCUUGCAUGAUGAAAAUGGCUUCCUCUAGGGUUCUCCUCCUGUGCGGCCUCCUGUUGGCCGUUGUUGUUCUCAUGGUUGCACAGGUCUCGGCUCGUGACCUGGCUGAGAUGACUCAGUCGCAGGAGAACGUGAAGGAUACUCACCACGGCCAUGGAGAACACCACCACGGCGGCCAUGAAGGACACCACCACGGCGGACACCACCACGGCUGUCAUCACGGACACCACCACGGCUGUCAUCACGGUGGUCACCCUCCUGAAGAAACUGAAGAUGUCAAGAAUUAGAUGAUGGACUCAUUGAGUCCAUCAUCCUGUUGGGAAAAUGUGAGAGAAUGUAUGCUAUGUAACUCAUGGAAGCUUAUGAGCUUUUGUAAUGAGUGUCGAAUAAAAUGGUUUCUCUACUGUUGUAAGCAGCUUUGUUGUGUUUCGGUUGGUUCUUUUGGUGAUUUUAAGUACGAGUCGUCUCAAAUGUGUACUGAUGUUUGCAUAUGAAUGAAUGAAACCCACUUCUU